UCAUAUUAAAACACCAGUUCCCAUAUGAUCACCAAAGUUAAGCAACAUCAAGACUGGUCAGUUCUUAGAUGAGUGACCACUUGGAAUACCAUGUGUAG